rnacentral:tRNA from 1 species
GCAGAUAUAGCUCAGUGGUAGAGUGUGUGCCUAGAGUGCAUAAGGCCCUGGGUUCAAUCCCCAUUAUCUCCA